UUAUUCACCCUUGUCUUUUGCGUACUUCUUGUUUCCUUGGUGGGUUCGCCCACCACUAGGACAAACAUAAACCUUUUGUAAUUGCAAUCAGCGUCAGUAACAAAUUAAUAAUUACAACUUUCAACAACGGAUCUCUUGGUUCUGGCAUCGAUGAAGAACGCAGCGAAAUGCGAUAAGUAGUGUGAAUUGCAGAAUUCAGUGAAUCAUCGAAUCUUUGAACGCACAUUGCGCCCUUUGGUAUUCCAAAGGGCAUGCCUGUUCGAGCGUCAUUUGUACCCUCAAGCUUUGCUUGGUGUUGGGCGUCUUGUCUCUAGCUUUGCUGGAGACUCGCCUUAAAGUAAUUGGCAGCCGGCCUACUGGUUUCGGAGCGCAGCACAAGUCGCACUCUCUAUCAGCAAAGGUCUAGCAUCCAUUAAGCCUUUUUUUCAACUUUUGACCUCGGAUCAGGUAGGGAUACCCGCUGAACUUAAGCAUAUCAUA
rnacentral:misc_RNA from 1 species